UCACAGAUAUUUAAAACACCUUUCAUUUUAUGAGGCGUUCCGAAACUGGAAAAUUCCUUGCCAUCUUUUCCAGGAAACACAACCACCACUCUGCAGGCCCCAAGACAACCCACUCAGGUCCAUGGGUGCCUGGUACCGAUGAGACACAUGAAUGGAAGACAGACAUUGCUCUGAGCCUUGAAAUAGAACUCCAUCUAGUGAUUUUCACUUGCAGAAGAUUCAAGAGAUCAACCGACAGGCCAAGAUUCCCAAGGUAGCCACACUUUCCGGUGAUCACUGCAGCAGCCCUCACUGUAGUGGGGACGCUGCUAACAGCUGGAGAUGCUGGGCGAAUGUCUAAGACACUUGGGUAACAGCCCGGCCAGACUGCUACAAGGUGAAAGAACAGAGAAAUCUCCUGUUUCCAGACAGGUUCUCAUGUAACCCAUGCCAGCUUGAAACUUACUAUGUAACAAAGAUUAACAGUGAACUUCUGAAGUUCUAACUUCCACCUCUUCUGGAGUUCUGGAAUCACAAGAAUGUGCCACCAUAUCAGAAGUGAAACGUGAAACACUCAUGCUCGCGGAGCAAGGGCUGCAGUCGGCCUGGAACGUGAGCUUCCUCCGAGUGAGGGUUAAAGAGUACAACAGCCCACCUCCUGCAGAGAGCGCCUUCUUCAGAGCUGGGUCAUGAAAGCUGGAAUCCUCAAGCUGAAACAGGGCAACGUGCGCUCAAAUACAACUUCUCUUAGCUUCUGUUGAGAGCGGACACACGUAAGGAAAUUCCUAAUAGACUGAAACCACCACAUCUGUUUCAUGUGCCACCUAUUCCUGAAUUUCAUACUCAAAUGCUUAUUAGAAAGAAUUCAGUGUCCAACAUGGCAAGAUGAAAUAAUAGGGCAACAAUGUCUGCAAGGAGAGCCAUCAAUAAACAAUUUAAGGUGUGAAUGAAUCUAUUGAGAGCAGAUGUGUAGAGAGCUACAGAAAAAGGUUCAGAACAGAAAAUCCUCAUUUCUAAAGUACAACAAAUUCAAAGAAUUCAAAUUCAAAUGCAUGACCUAGAAGGCUUUAUCGGCACUGCACAGUGAGGAUGCAAUGGACCAGACUCAGAGCAGCCGAGGUCCCACCCAUGAGCAAACUGAACCCCACGAUGAUUAGCAAGCGUGGGGCUCCAUGAGAGCUUGUUCCAUUUGCUUGGCUUCCAUGUUAAACUUGCUAACAAGGAUUAAAAUUUACACCGUUAAAAAACAAAGCCACAAACACAUGUUAGAGUUAAUAAAAAAGGGAUAAGAAGGGCAAUGGAAGUCCAGGGAAGUCACUGCUCAGAUUGGCUUAGCUCACACAUUCAGGAGGUGUAGGCAUAAUCAUUUUGAAACAGUUUCUAAAUGAAUUUCACUCUUGAUUGUUCUGAAAAAUACAUCCCCUCACCCCUGGCUCUGGCCUUUCUUCUUCACAGAGGCAACUGUACAACAUAAAUAUAUUUUCGGUCAGAUUUUAUUUUCUAAUGUUCUGCCUUUCCUACUGAAUCUAAGCUACCCACAGAUUCUGGCCACAUGUCUACAAUUUGCCUGUUGACUUCUGUUGUAUUCUUACUAUAUGUAUAUCCAACCACAACUACAGAGAAAUGGCAGGGAGUUGGAUGAGGGUGCCGCGUCUCACUGUAUGAAUUACUGCUGGAA